CGGCCUGCAGCCCGGAAGGGUUUGUUCCGCGCCGUCGUGUCAGCCCCGCAAGCCGGGGGUGGCGGGCCGAGGGUAGUCCGCCAGAAUUGAGGCCUUUAUUCCAGGGUGAGGGGGUCACGAAAGCUGUGGGGGUUCUUCAUCUGCCUGUAGGUCCUGUGUUUAUCUGUUUGUGUUUCUCUCCCGGAGCUCUCAAGGUACACGCACGCUUUGUACUCCGCCUGUGGAGGCUAGGAAGUGCCUUUUGCUCCUGAGGCCGGUGAAGGAGAAACACCAAUCUGAGAUUUUACAAGAUAAAUGUGUACAAGAACAAGAAGCUACUAAUUAUCUCCUGGUUAUAAGCAAAGAGAAAACAAGUAGUAAAGCAAAAAGAAGGACCUCUGAGUUGAAAUAUGCCAGGUGGAUAUGUGGAACAGGUCUGGGUGGGUUUUCUGCUAGUGUGUGAGCUUGUUCUGGUUUUUAUCUUAUGUCACUGUUAAAAAAAAGUACAUACUUUUGGUUACUGUGUAUAUCCAUAAGUAUCUUUUUCCUUUGGUGCCUCCAAAACAGUAAGGGUGCUGUUAAAAUUAAGGUUUAUUUUUUUAAGUAUAAAUUAAAUCUGAAUUUAGCAUAGCUUUAAUUUAAAUAGUAUUUAAAGCUUAGCUUUAAUUCUUACUUCAAAGGUAGUCUAGGUUUUAGUGUUGUCAUUAUAAUCAUUUUUAACAACUCGUAAUGCAAAUUACAGAAUUCAGAGCAUAAUAGGAAAGGUAAAAAUAGUAUAUUUUCAGAUCUUGAAUAAGAUUACCCAGUCAACAAAGUAAAUGUGUCAUGUAUAUGUAUAAGCUGAAUCUUUCUCGAUAUAUCUAAAUGUUGAACAAAUCAGUUAGAUAAACUGAAUGUAGGUAUUGAUUAAUCUUGGUUGUUCACUUUGGGUGAAUUCACUUCGGGUGAAUUCAUUUCAGAAACUUAAGGACAAAUCUUUUGUCACAUUCCUAACUGAGCGUGACCUAACCAUGACCAACAAGGUGAGGAGCAGUUCUCACCUCCUCUUGCCAAGCACCAUUAGAAUGCAUUGGGUGAGCUUCCUGCUGGAGGGGACGCUCCAGAAAACUGCCUUUCAGAACUCGAAGUCGAACUAGUAUUGACAAAAGUAUCGGCAUUUAUGUCUGUCUGUAUUUUUUGCAUUUCAGUAGGUCAGAUUUCACUGAAAAUUCUUUGAGAUCUUCAGCACAUGGAAGAUUAGAAUCAGUAUUUUAGUAUUAUAAUAAGGAGUAAUUAAGGCUUCUCAUAGAUACCAGAAAGUGAUCAAGGAAAACUCUUCUCUUCCUUUGCAAGUCUUGUGUAGUGCUAUCAGGAUUAAAUGGAGUGCAACUCAUGGUUAAUGAAGUUUUUACUCUUCUAGUAAAAUAACACUUAAUUUCUUAAAAUGCUGUCCCUUAUGGCUUUCAUACAUAAUUUCUGUCCAGACUUUCUAUUUUAGCAUAAUCAUAUGCCAUAGUUAGCCCAGACAAAUGUUUUUUAGAUUUUAUUAAUUUUAAAAUACAGUCAAGUAGACACGCACGUAUAUCUUCUCUAUAUAUUGACGGUCUAAUUCACAUAUCUAAGUUCAUCUUAGAGUCCUUCUACUAAUGCAUAGAACACCAAUGACCUUUCAUGAAAACAUCUGUGUGUUUCAGUGUGGCAACGCUGCUGCUUUUCAGUUAGGAUUAUUAAAAAGCUCGAACAGUAGUCUCCUAGAAGUGCAGAAUAGCAGUCAUUUGAGAUACUGGGGUUUUGGAGUCUGGUUUAAGAGGGAACAGUACAUACUGGAGUGAUUAAUGAGAUUUCCUUAGGUUUUUGCAUAGCUUCCUACCUAAAGCAAAAAAAAACAAACAAAAAAACCCCACACUCAAAACCAAAAAACCAACCACAAAACAGUAAGAACAGAAUAGUUGUGUGCCUUUCAUUCCUUCCUAAAGGUUUUACUUUGAAUGAUAGCCAUUUCAGCAAGAAUUUUAGCAGAUGCAGAGGACAUGCAAGGAACUUAAGGAACUUUCUGAUGUUCUGCUUUAUAAAGUCUGUUAGGCACACUUGGCACAAGCUAUGAAAGGUCCAAGUAAAAUGGCAUUUCUGUAAUACUUUUAUUCUUUCCCUUUUUUCUAAGUGUAUAUUAAGUACACAUCUGAAGAAACCACAUUUUACUCAUUUCUUUUAGGUUUGGGUAGCAGUCACAAGAGAUUAGAUGCUGUUAAGCAUAACAAAGCGUGAAGAUGACAAAUUAACCAGAGGCUUUUCAGCUUGAUCACAUCCUCCAGUGCAUAAUGGUAUAAAUUUUGCAUUCCAGACACAAAUGUUACCCUGGGGUUGAAAUCAUGCUGGAUGACUCUAUGUGAGUAAGUGUAACUGAUAGUUUGUUGGGGUUUUUUUCCCCCCAUUCCCUUCCUACUUUAAAUAUAGAAAGGAAAAUGAGUCCUCCUGAGUUAAGAGAUGAGUUAAUUGCAUGUGAAAUUUGUGAUGGAAAGUUCUGUCUAAAAAUAACAGUAGUAAAAGUUGUUGUUCUUUCACAUUUUAGGGGGAAAGUAAGAGAGUACUAGACUAGACUGAUACUCAUCUCUUUUGGGACAUUAGUACUUGACUGAUACAUAUAGCACUAUAGAUUAGAAUGGUUAAUUGUAUCAUAGCAAAAUAUUUUUUCUGUAGUUUUUCUAUUAAAUGUCUUUAAAACCAUAUGCAGAAUGUUACUUCCCAUGUUGUAUGUUAGUUCCAGCAACUCUGGAAUGAAUGAUACGCUGGUGGGCUUUUGAAAACCAGAAGAACAAAAGUCUGCCAGGGAUCCUAGAUGGGACUUUAAAAAGAAAUUUACAAAUUAUUUUACUACUAUUAACAAAUUUAAAAAAGCAAUGGUGACUAAAGGUCUCAAUUAAUAAAUUGUAUCAGCUUAUAUUAAUUUAGUUCCUCCACUUCAUUACAGAAAGACACUAUCGAUCCAAAAUUUAUUAGCAGUGUUUCAUUAAAGCCAGCGGAGGGCAGACUUGAAUUGGAAACUAUUUUUGCUACUUCAGUUACUUGAGCUUAAAAUACCAGAUAGUCCCUCGAGCUCAAAGCUGAUGACAGUCUCAUCACUCCUCUACUAUUCUAAUUACCCUUGUGCUGGAUAAAAGCUUCUUCACAAUUGCUGUUUGACAAAAUGAGUGUUUUGCUAUGUCACAGUGAGAAUAGCAGAUGUUUAAAUAAAGAUGCUAAUAUGAAAGCAGAUAAGCCAGUGUAUUAGCAGCUGUGUGUUACUCACAGGGGAGAAUCCACACUGCUUAAUAAUUAACCAUGUAUAUCUUAAAAUGGUUUUUAAAAGCUAGUGAAUAUCAUUAUCCCCAUUUUACAGAUGAAGAAACUGAGGGAUAGAGUGGUAGCCUUCCAAGUUAUUCAUCUAGGUGACCUACAGAAGCAGGAGUAAAAUACAGGUAUCAGAUCUAGCCCAGUGCUUAAGCAUAUCUUUCACACAAGUAAACUAUGACAUGGCUAACUCUUGUAAACAUCAUGGAAAUGUUCGCUAGUAGCUCAGUUUGCUGAAGCUGAAGAGCUUACACUAAUGAAAUAGGCAGGUAACCUGACAGGCAGGUUGUAGCUCUUGAAAAGAAUAUUCUCCUCAAGAAGAGGGGUGGUGAUCAGAUGACUAAUGAUCUGCUUUAAGGAUAGUAUUUUAAUAAUAAGACAAGUACUCUGCAUUUUUAUGUAUAUUUGUCAUUCUUUAAGUUAGGUUGUACAUUUUCCAAGGAAUGAAGAGGCUUUCUAUGUAGACCUUUAAAGGCAUUCCAUUCUCAGUACUAGGAAAUGUAUGGUUAAAAAGUCAAUUUGCGUACAAGUGAAGGAUUAAGAUGCUAAUAGACUGUUUCCCCCUUCCCUUCAUGUUUAAUUACAAGGGUUUCAAAUUAUGAGUGCUACAAUAGGCUCCCUGUUAACUCACCAAGCCUACCCUAUUUCCUGUACCUGGGGUCAGUAACAUUUGUGGGAUUAGUGUGACUCUCUGUUCCAUUCUCUUUAUAUGUUUAGGAGAUCAUUACCCAUUGUAACAGCUUUUUAAAUUAUAAAAAUACGCUGAUUUCAUUUUUAUCUGUAAACCGCAGUGUAAACUGUUCUUUCUGUUUCUAGUGAAGACUGGAGUCAUGCUGUUACAAAGCUUGCCGUUCCUCAGACUUGUAUAAGAUACACCACAGAACAUUUGGUGCUGCAGGUUGAAAACGCCAUUUGUAGAAUGAAUGAGCACAUUGCACAAUGCAUUUUUUUUGUUUUUCUUACUGCUAAUUUGCAGUGGACAGUUGUUGAUGGUGGGAAUUAGUCAUUGGUUCAUGUGACUGAAUGACAAGGACCACAUUGAAAAUUACAAGUUAGAAUGUGAAUGAGUGGGCACUUACAGUCUGGACUCAAAUACUGUAUAACCUAUUACUGUGUAAUUCAUUUCUGGUAUAUUUCCAGUCAAAUCAUGUUGAAAUAGGAGUCAGAAAUAUCUGGCAGUGAUUUAAAGUAAAUUAAAACAAUGUGGGAAUUACUCCAAAAGUUAUUACUGUAAAUUCAAGCAAUGAAUGUCAGGUUAACCUUCAAAGAAGUCCAGAGUCCGAGAUGUGCAGGGAGGGCUUUCAGCAGCCUUUACAAUAGCCCAGUACUGACUUUUCAACUCAAUAUUCAAGAUUUUCUAAGUACUGUGUGAAAGUUUGUAAGAAGAGAUUACAGAAGAGCCUGCUUUGAAUUCCUUUAAGAUUCUUGAUGAUUUCUCCUUGUACUUUGUAAUUUUACACCUCACGAAGAGUUGCCAUCUCCAAAUAGUCAUCACUUUCCAUACCCCACAGAGGCCUGAAAAUGCAAUUACCUCAAAAGGGAAAAGAUUAAUUUUCUCUUCUGCAGAAGGAAAAUCUUUUCUCAAAAUAACCAGUAAUCAAAGGCAUUUGUUUAAACUAAUCCUAGAUGGUGUAUGUUCUCUUUUGUUUGUACACAGCUUUCCCUUUUACUUGUAAUAGAUACUUGAAAUGUUAAAAAAAAUGAUUUAAGUGCAGUUAAGAUAUUACUACCUCAGAAGUAUGUCAUUGUUAUGUACCAUUGUGUUUGUUCUGCUAAGCAGGCACGACUCAAUUAGGGAGUUGCAGAUAAUGCAAAUUAAGUGUCUCAGAGCAGUAGCUGUGGUUGUAGGCAGAUUGACCAAAAGCCUGUUGCUAUAUUUCUUUACAUGGAAACAGUUGGAUAGGUAUAUACUGUCCGAAUAAAGAAAAUGGCGUUGUUGUGUGCCUGUGACAAAAAAUAAAAUAGUAUUUUCUUGGCAAAGUAUACUUAGUUUUGGAUUAAAACAAAGAAAUUUGAAUUUACCAUGUAUAAAGCUUGUACAGUAGUAUUUGAUCAAAAUCAAUUACUCUGGUAAUGUACUUUCAGAGAUGGGAGUUUUGCUGACAGCGAAAAGAUACUUCUACACCUCUGGAAAUUAAAGCCCACUGCUGUCAAGUUGCCAGGACCCUUGCAUGUGUGCUGAGGUGUCCUUUUUAGUAAGUUAAGGAUGUUUAUACUUACUGUCACGAGUAGCAGAAAAACAGCAGUGAUCGCUUCCAUGUUUAGAAUUUUGUUGAGUCUACUACCUGUGAGCAGACUGCGCUGAAGUUAUCUGAAACUCCUCAUCGCCAGUCUCGUUCUUGACAUGCUUCAGCCUCCAGCAGUCUGCUGCAACUUCUGUUACACCUCCUGAGAAUCUGUGCCUGGCAAUUCCUUUUUCUCCCCCAUUGGCCCCAAGCCAGAAAUACAUCCAUUUGCACAAAUGCUUCUUAACCUUGUUCACACUGCUUCUUGCCUUUUUUUUUUCUCCCCUCUUUCUGCUUCUCUGGUUGCUGUAUGCUUUUAUACUAAAUUUAGCGCUUGUGGAGUUUUCUGUGUAAUAAACCAGUGGUUACCAUGAA